UGUUGGGAUGGAAAGUCAGGGAGCAGGAAUGUAGUUGUGUUGGUGUUGUUUUUUUUUACUUUAGACUUAUUGCUUUUACUGUUAAAGCCUCAGUGUGUCUCGUCUCGGUCUCUCAGGAGGGAUGAAAUGCUCAGAGUUUGUGGGCCGCUGCGUCGGCUUUUUCAUUCUGGCUAUUGUCUUCGACGUGGUGGGUCUGAUAAUCUUUCUCCUGGGCAUAUUCGCUCCCCUCAGCUUCUGGGACCUCUUUGUGAUCUCCGGCCCCAUCAUUAUCUUCCUCAGCCUGGCGUUCUGGAUAUUCUGGUACCUGGGGAACAUCACUGUGCCGUAUCAGCAGCUGAUUUCCAAAUGAGCCACCCUCCAACUGUCCUGUGUGGGGAAGAGGGGGUGGAGAAAGAGAGAGGGCAGGCUGGUGGUGUUUGGGAUGUGGAUUGGGUUUGUGUGAACAAGCCAGAGGAAACCAAACAGAGCAGGGAAUACAUGAAUGUUUCUGGAGGGUCCAUCACUGAGGUGAUCAAUACAAACUGGUAAGACAAGAUACAAGACUGUGGUGAACUCUCAUGGAUCCUGAAAGUCUCAGGACGCACCUAAAGAUGCCUCAACAGCUUAUUUCAGGAAUUUCAAUGGAACUUUAAUAAAGUUUUGCUAUAUAAUGAAGCUACAAUGGAUACUUAUGUAAUUUGGACCAGCACUUUAUGCCUGUUUGAUAUUCUGCUUAGCCUUGUUUUUUUUUU